AAUCCCCACUGUCUGCUCAGUUGAAUCUGUCUAGUAUAGCAACUAUACAGUGAAACUGCGAAUGGCUCAUUAAAUCAGUUAUCGUUUAUUUGAUAGUACCUUACUACUUGGAUAACCGUGGUAAUUCUAGAGCUAAUACAUGCUAAAAAUCCCGACCUCUGGAAGGGAUGUAUUUAUUAGAUAAAAAACCAAUGCCUUCGGGCUCCUUGGUGAUUCAUGAUAACUUAACGAAUCGCAUGGCCUUGCGCCGGCGAUGGUUCAUUCAAAUUUCUGCCCUAUCAACUUUCGAUGGUAGGAUAGUGGCCUACCAUGGUUUCAACGGGUAACGGGGAAUUAGGGUUCUAUUCCGGAGAGGGAGCCUGAGAAACGGCUACCACAUCCAAGGAAGGCAGCAGGCGCGCAAAUUACCCAAUCCCAAUUUGGGGAGGUAGUGACAAUAAAUACUGAUACAGGGCUCUUUUGGGUCUUGUAAUUGGAAUGAGUACAAUUUAAAUCCCUUAACGAGGAACAAUUGGAGGGCAAGUCUGGCCCC
rnacentral:rRNA from 1 species